UACGUAGGUGGCAAGCGUUGUCCGGAUUUACUGGGCGUAAAGGGCGUGCAGGCGGUUUGUUAAGUGCAGGGUGAAAGCUCCCGGCUCAACUGGGAGAGGUCCUUGCAUACUGGCGAACUCGAGGGAGGCAGAGGAAAGUGGAAUUCCCGGUGUAGUGGUGAUAUGCGUAGAUAUCGGGAGGAACACCGAUGGCGAAGGCAGGUCUCUGGGCCGAUACUGACGCUGAGGAGCGAAGGCGUGGGGAGCGAACAGG
rnacentral:rRNA from 1 species